ensembl:lncRNA
CACUUGGCAAGUUGUGAUCACGAGAGUCCCUGCAACCGCAUCUUCGCAGUGCCUGGGUGCCCAAUGCGAUAGGGAAUCAGUCAGCCCAGACGGGGGGCCGCCCCACGCGGGCGCUACGCCGGGCACACCGCAGGGGCUCCAGGCGGAACGUUUUUUGUUAGGAGAGCCCCGAGGGCUUGAUGCUCAGAUAAGAGACAGCUGACGUGCCUGGGAGCCGAGCACGAGUGAGCAGGGGAGGGUCAGUGAGGAGGAAACCGACAGGGAUGCUGCUGGUCCUUCUCGCUAAGAAUUCCUAAAUCCGCUUCCUCCUUCUCGGGUCCUCGGCCGGUGCAUCUCAAUAGGCGGUCCCGCCGGUUGUGCUGGGCUGCGAGGAGAUGUCCCCUUCUCCACGUAGCCAUUUAGCACGGCUCACUGACCCUGCGGGCCAGCCUGGGGCUGGGAACUGCCUCUGUCCCACCGUGGGGACAGGCCGACCCUGCAGGCAAAGGACAAGCAGCUGCGAAGAUUGUCCCGGGGCAGGGUCCCAGCACCGCUGCUGCGGAUUAGUUUGCCGGUCCCUGAAGUGUGGGUGUCUGCCUCAGGCUCCCCGGAGCAGCGUGCCCCCUGACACAGCCUUCCCAGGUAAAUGGCUCACUUAGGUCCUGAAGCCAAGCUGGGACUCACCGUGGCCCCCGGGCCCAGAAGGAAGCCAAAGCCGCUAACAUCCUCCUGCUGCACCAGCCCACAGGGAGAGGGAAGUGGAGCCCCAGCCAAGCCAGGGCAUCCUCCGCACCCUGUACCCCGCUUCCCCCUCCCCCUCCCUCUCCCUGUCCCCACUCCUCCAUCCUCCCCCCUCUCCCAGGGGCUCCUCCCAGGCCUGCCCCUUCUCUGCCCUGCAGGCUCCUCCCUAGGAAGGUGUCCUUGUUCACCUGGAACUGCAACUCCUGCAGCAACCUGCGUGGCCACUUUUGAGAAUUCCCUGCAUGAUUUGAAAGCUAUUUGCAAAUAGAAGGCCAGGAACAAAGAAGUGUGUGAGAAUCUCACGCACCCUCCAUCCUACAAGAUCCAGUCCAUCGCCAACAGCCCCACCCUACACAUGGACCACAGAGCUGCUCCAAAGGGCUCCUGUCUACCCUUUUUGGGCCUGCCCAGGGCCAGGAGAGGCUCACCCAUUGACAUCAAGCUCUGAGCAACUGUGACCCAAGAAUUCCCAGCCCAAAUGUCCCCAUGCCCACCCAUCAGCCCCUGUAUAGGUCUGUCUUCCAGAGAAUGACCCCGCUGCUGAGAUUUGCCAGCUGGACUUGGGCUCUCCAGGGCCUUGUGAAAGUGGGUCUUUCAAAGCAGAAGGACAGAAUACACUUU